GUGAACCUAGCCGCUGGGCUGUGCGGACAGGUUCGCGUGGGGCUCCUGGGCCUCCCGCAGCCGCAGUUCAAUAUUUGCUCUGCUCUUUUUUGUUGUUUGUUUGUUUGAGACGGAGUCUCACACUGUCGCCCUGGCUGGAGUGCGGUGGCGCGAUCUCGGCUCACUGCAACCUCCGCCUCCCGGGUUCAAGCGAUUCUCCUGCCUCAGCCUCCCAAGUAGCUAGGAUUGCAGGCGCCCGCCAGAACGCCCAGCUAAUUUUUGUAUUUUUAGUAGAGAUGGAGUUUCACUAUGUUGGCCAGGCUGGUCUCAAACUCCUGACCUCGUGAUCCGCCCGCCGCGGCCUCCCAAAGUGCUGGGAUUACAGGUGUGAGCCACCGCGCCGACCUGCUCUGGUCUUUAUUAUUCUUAUUUUUCUUUACCUUGCUCAGUUCCCUUGUUUUCCCCUAUCGUCGUCUCCUUCCUUCCUUCCUAAGGCUGGCUACAUCUCCCUGUCUCCAACCUGGCUUAGCCACCUUAAUUAGCACCAAUUAUUUUGUUCUUACUUCAGAUGGGUCUUUUUUUCCCUAGUUUUUGUUAUUCCUUAAGUCUUGACUUAACUGUCAGGUCGAUCUCUGAGAGCAGAUCAUGAUUUAUUUAUUGAAGGAGGAGUCCUCUCCUUACUCAGGGUCAGUGAAGCCGCCAGCUACAGGAGUUGGCAUUUAUUAUUUACCAUGCUCGAAGCUCUGCUAAGCGGCUUUGUGCAUUAUAGUCAAUUCUUUCUUUCCUUCCAUUUUUUUUUUUUUUUUUUGAGACGGAGUUUAGCUCUUGUUGUUCAGGCUGGAGUGCAAUGAAUGGCACCAUCUCGGCUCACCACAACCUCCGUCUCCUGGGUUCAAGCAAUUCUCCUGCCUCAGCCUCCCGAGUAACUGGGAUUACAGGCGUGCACCACCAUGCCCGGCUAAUUUUUGUAUUUUUAGUAGAGACGCGGUUUCUCCAUUUUGGUCAGGCUGGUCUCAAACUCCUGACCUCAGGUGAUCCGCCCGCCUCGGCCUCCCAAAGUGCUGGGAUUACAGGCGUGAGCCACUGUGCCUGGCCCCAAUUAUAGUCAAUUCUUUUUUUUUUUUUUUUUUUUUUUGAGAUGGAGUUUCACUCUUGUUGCCCAGGCUGGAGUGCAAUGGCGUGAUCUCGGCUCACCGCAACCUCUGCCUCCCAGGUUCAAGCGAUUCUCCUGCCUCAGCCUCCCUAGUAGCUGGGAUUACAGGCAUGUGCCACCACACCCGGCUAAUUUUGUAUUUUUAGUAGAGAUGGGGUUUCUCCAUGUUGGUCAGGCUGGUCUCGAACUCCCUACCUCAGGUGAUCCGCCAGCCUUGACCUCCCAAAGUGCUGGGAUUACAGGCAUGAGCCACCGCGCCCGGCCUAUAGUCAGUUACUGAGAGGGGUUGCUGUUGCCACAUGGCGACUGUGGUCACCGUCUCUCCUGGACCUGCCUAGAUCCAAAAGCCAGCCCUGGAAGGAACACCUCUCAUUCUCAAGAAGAAGUUAAUGUCUGCCUUACAGUAGAUGUCCAAUAAAUCUUCUUUGAACAAU
rnacentral:lncRNA from 1 species